GGAUAGGUGGGAGGCUUUGAAGUGUGGACGCCAGUCUGCAUGGAGCCGACCUUGAAAUACCACCCUUUAAUGUUUGAUGUUCUAACGUUGGCCCGUUAUCCGGGUUGCGGACAGUGUCUGGUGGGUAGUUUGACUGGGGCGGUCUCCUCCUAAAGAGUAACGGAGGAGCACGAAGGUUGGCUAAUCCUGGUCGGACAUCAGGAGGUUAGUGCAAUGGCAUAAGCCAGCUUGACUGCGAGCGUGACGGCGCGAGCAGGUGCGAAAGCAGGUCAUAGUGAUCCGGUGGUUCUGAAUGGAAGGGCCAUCGCUCAACGGAUAAAAGGUACUCCGGGGAUAACAGGCUGAUACCGCCCAAGAGUUCAUAUCGACGGCGGUGUUUGGCACCUCGAUGUCGGCUCAUCACAUCCUGGGGCUGAAGUAGGUCCCAAGGGUAUGGCUGUUCGCCAUUUAAAGUGGUACGCGAGCUGGGUUUAGAACGUCGUGAGACAGUUCGGUCCCUAUCUGCCGUGGGCGCUGGAGAACUGAGGGGGGCUGCUCCUAGUACGAGAGGACCGGAGUGGACGCAUCACUGGUGUUCGGGUUGUCAUGCCAAUGGCACUGCCCGGUAGCUAAAUGCGGAAGAGAUAAGUGCUGAAAGCAUCUAAGCACGAAACUUGCCCCGAGAUGAGUUCUCCCUGACUCCUUGAGAGUCCUGAAGGAACGUUGAAGACGACGACGUUGAUAGGCCGGGUGUGUAAGCGCAGCGAUGCGUUGAGCUAACCGGUACUAAUGAACCGUGAGGCUUAACCUUACAACGCCGAAG
rnacentral:rRNA from 1 species